rnacentral:rRNA from 1 species
UACGGGGGGGGCAAGCGUUGUUCGGAAUUAUUGGGCGUAAAGAGCGCGCAGGCGGUCGUUCAAGUCGCGUGUGAAAGCCCCCGGCUCAACUGGGGAGGGUCACGCGAUACUGAUCGACUCGAAGGCAGGAGAGGGAAGUGGAAUUCCCGGUGUAGUGGUGAAAUGCGUAGAUAUCGGGAGGAACACCAGUGGCGAAGGCGACUUCCUGGCCUGUUCUUGACGCUGAGGCGCGAAAGCUAGGGGAGCAAACGGG